rnacentral:rRNA from 1 species
GACGAACGCUGGCGGCGUGCUUAACACAUGCAAGUCGAACGGAAAGGCCCUGCUUGCCGGGUACUCGAGUGGCGAACGGGUGAGUAACACGUGGGUGAUCUGCCCUGCACUUCGGGAUAAGCCUGGGAAACUGGGUCUAAUACCGGAUAGGAGCCAUUUUUAGUGUGAUGGUUGGAAAGUUUUUUCGGUGUAGGAUGAGCUCGCGGCCUAUCAGCUUGUUGGUGGGGUAAUGGCCUACCAAGGCGGCGACGGGUAGCCGGCCUGAGAGGGUGGACGGCCACAUUGGGACUGAGAUACGGCCCAGACUCCUACGGGAGGCAGCAGUGGGGAAUAUUGCACAAGGGGCGCAAGCCUGAUGCAGCGACGCCGCGGGGGGGAUGACGGCCUUCGGGUUGUAAACUCCUUUCGCUAGGGACGAAGCUUUUUGUGACGGUACCUAGAGAAGAAGCACCGGCUAACUACGUG